GGCGUAAAAGAGCUCGUAGGCGGUUUGUCGCGUCUGCUGUGAAAACUGGAGGCUCAACCUCCAGCCUGCAGUGGGUACGGGCAGACUAGAGUGCGGUAGGGGAGAUUGGAAUUCCUGGUGUAGCGGUGGAAUGCGCAGAUAUCAGGAGGAACACCGAUGGCGAAGGCAGAUCUCUGGGCCGUAACUGACGCUGAGGAGCGAAAGCAUGGGGAGCGAACAGGAUUAGAUACCCUGGUAGUCCAUGCCGUAAACGUUGGGAACUAGAUGUAGGGACCAUUCCACGGUUUCUGUGUCGCAGCUAACGCAUUAAGUUCCCCGCCUGGGGAGUACGGCCGCAAGGCUAAAACUCAAAGGAAUUGACGGGGGCCCGCACAAGCGGCGGAGCAUGCGGAUUAAUUCGAUGCAACGCGAAGAACCUUACCAAGGCUUGACAUAUACGAGAACGCUGCAGAAAUGUGGAACUCUUUGGACACUCGUAUACAGGUGGUGCAUGGUUGUCGUCAGCUCGUGUCGUGAGAUGUUGGGUUAAGUCCCGCAACGAGCGCAACCCUCGUUCUAUGUUGCCAGCACGUUAUGGUGGGAACUCAUAGGAGACUGCCGGGGUCAACUCGGAGGAAGGUGGGGAUGACGUCAAAUCAUCAUGCCCCUUAUGUCUUGGGCUUCACGCAUGCUACAAUGGCCGGUACAAAGGGCUGCGAUACCGUAAGGUGGAGCGAAUCCCAAAAAGCCGGUCUCAGUUCGGAUUGAGGUCUGCAACUCGACCUCAUGAAGUCGGAGUCGCUAGUAAUCGCAGAUCAGCAACGCUGCGGUGAAUACGUUCCCGGGCCUUGUACACACCGCCCGUCAAGUCAUGAAAGUCGGUAACACCCAACGCCAGUGGCCUAACCUUCGGGA
rnacentral:rRNA from 1 species